AUAGCGAGGCAGUGGUACACGGAGCUCCCAGACUGUGCUCGAUAGAUUGUAGAUGAGGCGAGGUUCGGCCCAUUUUGUGUGGGGUUGUCGCGUCUUCCGGCGAGUAGGACCCUCCUGGGCGCAUUAGUAGAGAUAUGGUGGGACACCACCAACUCCAUCCAUUUUUCAGCUACUGGGGACAUGACGAUGACCCCAUACGAUUUUUCUAUGCUGAUGGGCCUCGACAUAGGAGGUCGGCCAAUCCCAUAUGACUUCGAUAUGGGUGAGUGGUUGGCAGCCUGGAUUUAUCUACUCGGAGCCCAUCUGUCGAUCUGCCGAUCAUCGGGCAUGGUCAGAGACACCUGGUUUACAGACAAGUACUAAGGGACCGUGCCCGAGACUAUUGAGGCCACAGAGCAGUACGCCCGGGGAUUUCUAAUGUUCCUUCUUGGGACCACAUUGUUCUCCGACAGGGGGAACACGGUCAGGCUAUAUCUUCUUAGUGCUCUAGUAGACCUAUCCUAGGUUCAGCACUUCGAUUGGGGCGGCGAUGGCCUUGCUACCCUUUACUGCUAUAUGAGCGCAACGUCCCGCGGGUGCGGGAACAUAGUAUGAGGCUAUUGGAGAGCCUGGGAGCUGUGGAUAUGCGCCUACUUCCCGACGCUUGCUCCUGAUCCAGAGGUUCAGGCAUCACUUGAGGUGCCAUACUCAUGCAGAUUUGAGGGUCGACGCCGGCCCAGACCUCGAGAGACCUUGCCGUACGUCCGGCAUUAUUUUGACAUCAUAUGGGCGAUCGAGAUCAGUUGGUAGCCUUGGGUGGCGAUGCCAGGGUUUUCUUGGUUCUAGUUUGCUGGUGCAUGGGGCGCCUCCCGAUACCGGAUUUUGUUUGAGGGACCAGUUGGCAGAGCCUGGUUUCUCGGGGAGUGCUUCAUGUGCUAGACACCUGGUAAUCCCGCUCAGGAGAUCCCUUCACCACCUCCAUCAGACAUGCGGACCACAGAGAGUCUCACUCCCUGGGAGGUUAGCGACCUUAUGUAAGGUGCUGACGCAGUCCUUCUCCUGGAGGAGGGUGAGUACACGACAUACCUUAACACAAACAUGAUGCCCCUGCUGAUAGGUGUUUGUGCCCCCAUGAGGAGAGCUGCUGACAUUCCUUCAUCGAGCCUCACCCGAGCUACAGACAUACCUUCGACUAGCAGGGCCAGCACAUCGAGAGGUCAGACUAGAGGGAUGCCCCCUAUUUGGUAGUGUGCUGGGUGGCCAGAUCCUCCGACCGAGCUAACAGGCUGGCGGUAUGGGAUGCUUUACCAGAUUCCGCUAGAGCCUCCAUUGCCAGACCAUCGAUAUGCUAGUGCCCCUGACUCAACGUCGCCUCCCAGAGGAUAUGUUGAGGGGUUACUCAAGGCGAUGGCCUCACUCGAAGGUGUGGUCUUGCGGAGGAAGACGAUGUUGUACACCCCCGGCAUCCCGAUACUUUCCAGUUUGCUUGUAUUUAUCGUACUUCUGAUGACAUGCCAAAGCUCAACACUUCACUACACUAAUUCACUGUCUCACUUCUACAGCGUUGGCCAUCCAGGCCUUCUCGAGUAGCAGGGAGAGGGAUCCGAACAUGCUAUCGAGGGAGGCGUCGAGCACUUGCCAGAUGUGGUGAUGAGUCUAGUGAGGAGGAGGAGGCAGCACAUCGUCAGUCAGAGGCAUCCGCGGGCAGAGGUGAUGACACCGAUUCAUGUUCUAAGGGCGGAGGCCACACCGAGCAGGAUUCUGAGGAUGGCGGCUCUGGUUUAGACGGGGGUGCCGAUGGCGGUGGUGCAGAGGCUGCUCAGCCGAAGAGGGUGAAGAGGGCCUCUCGACCUUGAGCCAGAUAGCACCGACUCAGUUGUUUUGCUUUGUUUUCUUUUUUUGCUAGUAGUUAUAGCAUAUUGUACAGUGCUAAGCAAUUUUAUUUUCCUUAAAACAUGUACCUUGUUGUAAAAAGAAAACAUGAUGGAA